rnacentral:tRNA from 1 species
GCCCUUGUAGCUCAAUGGUAGAGUAAAUUCUUGGUAAGAAAGAGGUCACGAGUUCAAUUCUCGUCAAGGGCU